rnacentral:lncRNA from 1 species
AAACUCACAAGUACUUUCAUUUUCUUUGUUAGAAGGUAAGUGCUUUCAUUCCUUGUGCCUCUUGGUUCUCAGCUACCCGGUACAAUCUCUUGCUUCCACAAGUUAUGUAGAAAAAAAGAUUAUAUAUUUAUAAGCUAUCCUUUCUAUAGCAAGAUUUCUUUCUUAUCUUGGCUGUUCAGGACUUGCUGCCUUCUAAUGUACUGACCUUAAUACAAAAUUUACACUUAAAAUGAUCCUGUAUCAUGAUCUGUUUCAAUAUUUUUUAGUUUACCUUUACCACAGACUUUCUCAGAAAGGACAGCAGAUAUUUUGCUGCUUCUGAAUAUAGCUAAUCUUAAUUGGGAACAAAAGUUUCUAAACAUUAUAAAUUUUGCCUCAUUAUUGAAUUCUCCAAAGAUGUUUCUUUCAGUAAUAUGAGAAAAUUGUAAUAUUACUACUAGCAUACACAUAGGAAUCUAAGAUUAAUGGGUGAAUUUGUUUUAAUUUUUCAUGUUAACCAAAGGGAGUUCUCAUCUGGUCAUCCUAGAAUCUGCAUCUUGAUUGGCCAUUCUUUGGUCCUCUUUUUUGUAUUUUUUUCAUUUGCAAAAAUUCUACAUACAUAUGAUUCUUGCCAUCUAUUUUUUUUAAAUAUCAUGUAUUUUCCUAAAAAUCUUCAUUUUAUAAGCUGAUUUUCAGGAGUCCUUGAGCUAAAUUUAAUGCAAACAAUAUCUUUGAAUAACUCAACUUCAUAUUUGACAUAAAUUUGGGCAACCUAUAUCCAAAAGAACUAUAAAUUUGUCUGCUUUUGUCAUCAACACUCUUUACCAUUCUUGAGAUUUUGUAGUUAUAUUAAAGAUUUACUAUCUGAAACACAUAUACUUCU